rnacentral:lncRNA from 1 species
CUUUGUGGUUAUAAUGCCAAAAUAUCAAGUCGGCUCAUUCAUCUCUUGGUGUUGAUUGUUACAGGCUUCUUGAAUCUUCUAUUUACCCAUUUUUUCCUUGAUUUAGUAUUUUUAUUUUUAUGUAACGCAAUCUUAUUGCUAGGAAUUUUCUUGUUAAGAUCCUAUAAAUCGAUUAAAACCUCAGAUUCAUACUAGAACAACGAUGAUUUAAUAAAACCCUCAAACUAAAGAUUCCUAGAGUAAGAAUCGUUGCAUCAUCACUUAUUCAAUGAUUAUAAAUAUAAUGAGUAAAAUCCAAAGAAAAAGAAAGGUUUAUCCUUUGAUUAAACAUAAAUUAAAAGUUUAAAAGAAGAAAAAUCUUUCAAUUUAUACCUUAUAACUCUUUGAAAUUUUUUGGAGUCCGGUCACGGGAUCUGAAUAUUAAGUAUGAAUGUUAUGCUCUUCUACAUCCUAGGUCUUCCCGUUCCUUCAUCUAGCUUAUGUUCUUCAUGUAGCAUUCAGACCGAAUGACUCUAUGAAAUUACGUCGAUACUUCCACAUAUCAUAUUAGGGAUAACGUAGGAGACAUUUCUAUUUUUCCCCCGGGGAAUCUUUAGAAUUACCACUGCUUAGCUUUCAAUUCGCCUCUGACCAUCAAAUGAAAUGUGAAUAAUCCGUCCUCCUCUCCUUGAAACAAGGGGCGCUUCUGGUUCUGUCGGUGCUGGAAACAAUUUUAUCUUCUCCAUAUUACUAUAUCUCUAGAGUCAAUAAUUUUCUAUGAGGAACUACUGAACUCAAUCACUUGCUGCCAUUACUCUUCAGUUUUCUGUUGAGGUCUAUCCUGUAGAGGUACUCAAAUUGGAUCAGUGAUCGAUUUCUAGGUUUCGUCGUAAACCUAAUUGGUUACUUCCAAUUACGUAAAUCAAUAGUUCAAACCGCACUCAAAGGUAGGGCAUUUCCCAUUUUUAUAGGAACUUCUGUACCA